AUUGCACGCUGGCGGCAGGCCUAACACAUGCAAGUCGAACGAGUGGCGGACGGGUGAGUAAUGUCUGGGAAACAGCCUGAUGGAGGGGGAUAACUACUGGAAACGGUAGCUAAUAACUCAUACCAUCAGAUGUGCCCAGAUGGGAUUCGCUAGUUGGUGGGGUAACGGCUCACCAAGGCGACGAUCCCUAGCGGGUCUGCGAGGAUGACCAGCCACACUGGAACCUGUACACGGUCCAGCCGCCUACGGGAGGCAGCAGUGGGGAAUAUUGCACAAUGGGGGCAAGCCUGAUGCAGCCAUGCCGCGUGUAUGAAGAAGGCCGUCGGGUUGUAAAGUACUUGCAGCGGGGAGGCGUUACCCGCAGAAGAAGCAACGGAUAACUCCGUGCCAGCAGCCGCGGUAAUUC
rnacentral:rRNA from 1 species